UUGCACCAGAAGUAGCUAGUCUAACCUUCGGGGGGACGGUUACCACGGUGUGAUUCAUGACUGGGGUGAAGUCGUAACAAGGUAGCCGUAGGGGAACCUGCGGCUGGAUCACCUCCUUAAU
rnacentral:rRNA from 1 species